AAGUCGUAACAAGGUUUCCGUAGGUGAACCUGCGGAGGGAUCAUUAACACGUAUCCACGUAUACACCAAACGCGAACUCGGAGAUGAAUCUCGAUACUUGUAUCGAGUGAAGUCACCAUUCUCCCUAUGCAUGCUACAGUCGUGAACUCAUUCAGCUCGUGGUGGGAGUUGCUUGCAACUCAGCUGAUGGUUUGCACAGAGGUCGCAAGACUUCUAGGCUGUCAUGUAUAGGCUAAUUUUUCCACCACGGAUAACAACCAAUAUAACCUUUUUUAUUCCAGUUUGACUGAUGUUCUGAUAUGUCUAACGACAUGUCGACCAUGUAUAUCAAAUGCAAAGCACAACUCUUAGCAACGGAUAUCUUGGUUCUC
rnacentral:misc_RNA from 1 species